rnacentral:rRNA from 1 species
CCUACGGGUGGCAGCAGUAGGGAAUAUUGCUCAAUGGGGGAAACCCUGAAGCAGCAACGCCGCGUGGAGGACGAAGGUUUUAGGAUUGUAAAGUUCUUUUGUGAGAGAAGAAAAUGACGGUAUCUCACGAAUAAGCACCGGCUAACUCCGUGACAGCAGCCGCGGUAAUACGGAGGGUGCAAGCGUUAUUCGGAAUGACUGGGCGUAAAGUGUGCGCAGGCGGGCUUGUAAGUCAGAAGUGAAAGCCUGUAGCUUAACUAUAGAACUGCUUUUGAAACUAUGAGUCUAGAGUGUGGGAGAGGUAUGUAGAAUUCUUGGUGUAGGGGUAAAAUGCGUAGAUAUCAGGAGGAAUACUCAUUGCGAAGGCGGCCUACUGGAACGUUACUGACGCUGAGGCACGAAAGCGUGGGUAGCAAACAGGAUUAGAUACCCUUGUAGUC